GCCAGUCUACAUUCUGUAGUUCAUCGAGUAGCCAGAUAAAGUAGACUACUCGAUGAACAACAGAAAAGGGCCACGACAAGUAAUUUCUAUCUAUUUGUGUAUGAAUAAGAUGAAAUUACUCGUUUCGAAUGAUUUUACUGAUGUGGUUUUUAUCCAAGUUUUAAGCUACGUUAUACAUAGCGUCUGGGCUACCGCAUUAGAACAACAGGAUUACCACGAUACUUUUUUUUUUCACUGAGAGAGGAAGUAUCGUUGUAAUUUUAAAUCAUGUUCUUUUUUUAAAUUCAAAUCCAUCAGCUAUAGUUCAAAUUUUAAAAGGAUAUGGAAAAAGUCUUUCAACUUCCCGUACGAUCAAACCCGAUUCGGUAAUGAAAAAAUGGCACAGAGACAUAACUAGUCCUAUAAGAAGUAAUCUGGACAUAUUAAGCGCCAUAGUUUGGCAAAUAGGUGAACAUUCGACCUUUUUCUGUCUGAAUCGAUGGGCAAUCGGCCCAACGAAAGGGAGGGUUACAUUAUAGUAAUCAAAUGACACAGAGACAUCACUAGUCCAAGACUAGCGAGACGACUAGUAGACUAAAACUUUUCAAAGUUUGGUGAAAAGUUAAUUCAAAUUUCCUUUCCUCACGUUAUCAACACUGACACACAGUCCUUGAAUUCCAGCAUUCGCGGCUUGAAAGAACAGAAAAAUUAAGUUAAGGGUUAGUUUUCAAGAACCAUUUGAAUUCCUUUCUUUGUAACAAAGGUGUCAGUCACAAAGUAGGUAGUUGUCUUGAUCUAAAUUAUCAACACUGACACACAGCCCUUGAAUUCCAGCAUUUUGCUCGAAAGCAAAGGAAAAUUAAGAUAAUUGGGGGUGGGCGGGAUGGGCGUAAAUCACAAACGGGAAAAGGUCAAUCGAGGAAUAACUAUAUACAAGUGUAUUAACUCGUAUGGGAUACAGUCAAGCAUCCAUUUACAAUUUUUAUUAACAAAUCAAGGUAAAUUUUCAAGUGCCAUUUGAAUUCCUUUUUUUGUCACUGAUCGAAGUGAUGCCAUAGAAACUCUUUGAUUUUCUGCCUCCAAAUGAUCAACACUGACACACAAUCCUUGCAAGGAUUCAUGCUGCUCAUCAAUUUUCAGAUAAAAAACAAAUCAAGGUUAAUUUACAAGUGCCAUUUGAAUUCCUUUCUUUGUCACUGAGGUGGCAAAGAAAGCACUUGAUUUUCAGUCUACAAAUGAUCAAAUCCAAAUUUCAGAAUUUGUUAUAAAAAUGCCAUUUGAAUUCCUUUCUUUGUUACAAAGAAGAAAUCAAAAAUUAGUUUAUCUGCUGGUUCUAGAUUAUGAACAUUGACACACAAUCCUUGAAUUCCAGCAUCAAACGUUAAACGGAGAGUAAGAGCAAAGCAGGGGGAAAGGUGGGGGUUGAACGGCAUAAGAAGGGUUCAAUUGAAAUCCGUAUGCAAACGGAAGGUCUUGCACAUCGAAGGAUUCCUCGUUAAGAGGAUUAUUAGCAGCUUUUUGCCGCUAAAAGCAGUUCUUUUUGAAAGCGCACAGAUUGGGGCUGCGCAGGGAAAAGCGAUAGAAAAAUUGAGAGGCCGGCAGAUGGCGGACAUCACCUGUUCCACACGCAACAACAAAAAUAACAACUUUAUAUUGUAAAGGUCCGUCCGUCUGCCAGCCUAUCAGGCGAAAGGGUCGGUUUAAUUUUGGGGAUCGCCCCUGUAUCUUGAGGUGAGGCUGUAUCUAUUUUAAUUCAUUCUCCUUCUUGCGCCGCCGUGGCUCCUAACUGCUGGUCCCCAAACUCUUGCGUAAUUACCAAUUCGUUGGUUGGUUUAUUUUCUCGAAGGGUGGAAAAAGGCCUUCGGAAACUUUUGGAUACGCGUCGAAGGAAGAUAAAAGGGGGUUUUUUAUGCUCGCUAGUAAAAGGUGUCGACUUCAUUGUAUAGAAUACAUAAAGAAAAAAUAAAUUCUGACUAAAAGGUUGAGUGGUGGCGUUGAUUGGGAAACGUGGUAGCGUGAUCCGGUCGAUGGAUCCUUACAAUAUAUAACAAACGGAGAGAAUAUAUAACAGUGCAAGGAUUUGGCUGUCAGUGGUGGGACUUCUUGGUGGCCCGUUAUCUAUACAGGCGGUGGGACAGGAGCAGCCUCAUGUACCGGAAAAGGAUGUCGCGCUGAUUACUCGGAGAAAAUGAGAGACGCGUGAUUAGAAGGGCCCGGAGUUUCUCUAAUACUUGAUCAACUCACACAACAUCCAGCAGUCCCAGUAAAUGAAUUUUACUCUCUAACGCAAGUUUUUGAAGAAACAUAUGUUUAACCACCCACACAUCAGGCUCUGUCAACGAGUGUCUAGGCCUACUUGGAAUAUCUAUAGCGCUGUCCACCCAAUGACUACCAGUCAGAAAAAUCGGGACGGUCAGGUGUCGUGAUUUUCAUAUAGCCUACUAUGUCAAUGCUCUGUGUGAUUACAAUUAUUGUAAAGAAAAGAAAUAUUUGUGUAUUUAUGCUUUUACAAAAAAAUUAUGUAUUUAUUCGCGUCUCACAGAUUACUUUAACAUGCAUAUAAUGAAAAUAAAAACUGUUGAAAAUAAAGAUCAUUAUGACAUGUGUUAUAUUUGUAGGAAUUUAGGACACAUUCGUGCUGUGUUUUUCUGAUGAAUUGAGAUGAAUUAAUUCAGUAUGAACCGUAAGAUUUGGGGUAGGCGUACGGCGUUUGGUGAUAUCCUUUGUUAUAAUUAUUUCCCUCAUUAUAAUUGUUGUAAGACUUGCCAUAAGUGUCAUAAGGUCCCUGUAUAUAACUCAGAAAUAAUAUAAAUAAUCAAAUAUUGUAGCAUAGAAAAAUAUGCGCAUUACCGGAUGUCCAAAGUAUGAACCGUAAAUGUAUGUGUCGUAACCAGAUCCAAAAUGCGGUGCAUAUGCUGGCUCAAAACCUAUACCAUAGGCAAUAUCAACAUAAUUUAUAAAUAAUAAUGUUUUAAAUUGAAUUUAUAUAAACUCUUACCCCCGUAGCUGUUUCCGUAACCCCCAUAAGACGAUGGGUAAGCCGAACACAGCGCAAUCACGACUCCAAGGAAUAAGCUGAUUGC